ACCUGGGUGGCUCAGUCGGUUGAGCGUCUGACUUUGGCUCAGGUCACAAUCUCACCGUUCGUGAGUUCGAGCCUCGCGUCGGGCU
rnacentral:tRNA from 1 species